rnacentral:lncRNA from 1 species
UUUAGAAACCAGUAUGACAAUGAUAUCAUUGUCUGGAGCAGGAUUCAUCAAACUGAAUAUGCAAUGGAAGCUGUUAAACAAGGUUCAGCCACAGUUGGUCUGAAAUCAAAAACCCAUGCAGUAUUGGUUGCAUUGAAAAGGGCACCAUCGGAGCUUGCAGCUCAUCAGAAAAAAAUUCUCCAUAUUGACAAACAUAUUGGUAUCUCAAUUGCAGGGCUUACUGAUGAUGGUAAACUGUUACGUAAUUUUAUGUGCCAGGAGUGUUUCGAUUCCAGAUUUGUAUCUGAUAGACCACUUCCUGUGUCUUCUCUUGUAUCUCUAAUUGGAAGCAAGACCCAAAUAUCAACACAACAAUAUGGCUGGAGACCAUAUGGUGUUAGGCUACUUACUGCUGGUUAUAAUGAUAUGGGCCUCACAUUUUCCAAACCUGGUCAUCUGCUGACUAUUUUGACUACAGAGCUACGUCCACUGGGGCCCAUUCUCAGUCAGCUCGUACUUACUUGGAGAGACAUAUGUCUAAAUUUAUGGAAUACAAUUUAAAUGAACUGGUUAAACAUGGUCUGCAUGCCUGAAGAGAGACAAUUCCUGCAGAACAGGACAUAACUACAAAAAUGUUUCCAUUGGAAUUGCUGGUAAUAAUUUGGAGUUUACAAUCUAUCAUGAUGAUGAUGAUGUGUCUCCAAUCCUGGAAGGUCUUGAAGAAAGGCCACAGAGAAAGGCAAAGCCUGCUCAACCUGCUGAUUAACCAGCAGAAAAGGCUGAUGAACCAAUGGAACAU